GUCGUUGUAUUAUAGUGUUGAGUAUUCCCGCCUGUCACGCGGGCGACCCGGGUUCGAUCACCGGCAACGCUU
rnacentral:tRNA from 1 species